GUGUCAGCAGCCGCGGUAACACCAGCCCCUCGAGUGGUGGGGACUAUUAUUUGGCCUAAAGCGUCCGUAGCUGGCUGUAUCCGUCUCCCGGUAAAUCCGGCGUCCUAAGCGUCGGCUCUCGGGUGAUACCAUACAGCUAGAGGGUGGGAUAGGUGAGCGGUAUUUCUGGGGUAGGGGCGAAAUCCUUUGAUCCCAGGAGGACCACCAGUGGCGAAGGCUGCUUACUAGAACACGCCUGACGGUCAGGGACGAAAGCUGGGGCAGCGAACCGGAUUAGAUACCCGGGUAGUCCCAGCUGUAAACGAUGCUAGCUAGGUGUUGGGUCGGCCACGCGCCGCCCCAGUGCCGCAGGGAAGCCGUUAAGCUAGCCGCCUGGGGAGUACGGCCGCAAGGCUGAAACUCAAAUGAAUUGGCGGGG
rnacentral:rRNA from 1 species